rnacentral:rRNA from 1 species
AACGCUAGCUACAGGCUUAACACAUGCAAGUCGAGGGGCAGCAUGGUCUUAGCUUGCUAAGGCCGAUGGCGACCGGCGCACGGGUGAGUAACACGUAUCCAACCUGCCGUCUACUCUUGGACAGCCUUCUGAAAGGAAGAUUAAUACAAGAUGGCAUCAUGAGUCCACAUGUUCACAUGAUUAAAGGUAUUCCGGUAGACGAUGGGGAUGCGUUCCAUUAGAUAGUAGGCGGGGUAACGGCCCACCUAGUCUUCGAUGGAUAGGGGUUCUGAGAGGAAGGUCCCCCACAUUGGAACUGAGACACGGUCCAAACUCCUACGGGAGGCAGCAGUGAGGAAUAUUGGUCAAUGGGCGAGAGCCUGAACCAGCCAAGUAGCGUGAAGGAUGACUGCCCUAUGGGUUGUAAACUUCUUUUAUAAAGGAAUAAAGUCGGGUAUGGAUACCCGUUUGCAUGUACUUUAUGAAUAAGGAUCGGCUAACUCCGUGCCAGCAGCCGCGGUAAUACGGAGGAUCCGAGCGUUAUCCGGAUUUAUUGGGUUUAAAGGGAGCGUAGAUGGAUGUUUAAGUCAGUUGUGAAAGUUUGCGGCUCAACCGUAAAAUUGCAGUUGAUACUGGAUAUCUUGAGUGCAGUUGAGGCAGGCGGAAUUCGUGGUGUAGCGGUGAAAUGCUUAGAUAUCACGAAGAACUCCGAUUGCGAAGGCAGCCUGCUAAGCUGCAACUGACAUUGAGGCUCGAAAGUGUGGGUAUCAAACAGGAUUAGAUACCCUGGUAGUCCACACGGUAAACGAUGAAUACUCGCUGUUUGCGAUAUACAGCAAGCGGCCAAGCGAAAGCGUUAAGUAUUCCACCUGGGGAGUACGCCGGCAACGGUGAAACUCAAAGGAAUUGACGGGGGCCCGCACAAGCGGAGGAACAUGUGGUUUAAUUCGAUGAUACGCGAGGAACCUUACCCGGGCUUAAAUUGCAGAUGAAUUACGGUGAAAGCCGUAAGCCGCAAGGCAUCUGUGAAGGUGCUGCAUGGUUGUCGUCAGCUCGUGCCGUGAGGUGUCGGCUUAAGUGCCAUAACGAGCGCAACCCUUGUUGUCAGUUACUAACAGGUUCCGCUGAGGACUCUGACAAGACUGCCAUCGUAAGAUGUGAGGAAGGUGGGGAUGACGUCAAAUCAGCACGGCCCUUACGUCCGGGGCUACACACGUGUUACAAUGGGGGGUACAGAGGGCCGCUACCACGCGAGUGGAUGCCAAUCCCAAAAACCUCUCUCAGUUCGGACUGGAGUCUGCAACCCGACUCCACGAAGCUGGAUUCGCUAGUAAUCGCGCAUCAGCCACGGCGCGGUGAAUACGUUCCCGGGCCUUGUACACACCGCCCGUCAAGCCAUGGGAGCCGGGGGUACCUGAAGUGCGUAACCGCGAGGAGCGCCCUAGGGUAAAACUGGA